UCCUACUUGUUAUUUAUCACUGCCAAUGCCAGUCGAAAAGGAAGUACCAGUUGACCUGUAUAUGGCUUACAUGGAUCUUUUAGCAGAAAGUUUUCUGCUUUCAAGGGAUUCGAAGAGUUUGCAAAAUAUUAUGUCUCUAGGAUUCCACAGUUUUACGUAAUUCAAUUGACAAGAAAUUUAUACUGAUUCUUGUUUUAUUUUUCUAAAGGCAGAUUCGUUAUUAUAAAGAAUUGGGAAAGAAAGCUGACGGAAGCUCAGUGCCAAAAAAAUUAUGGUAGUUGGCAUGAUGACCGAAGCUCUUCGGAUUCGUUUAUUUCACGCGUUAUGGUAUUUAAAGAAAAUAAAGGUGUUCAAUACCUGGGCCCCUUUGUAUCUGUGACCCGAUUUCCUCUUCACCUGUGAUAAUUCUGCAGCGGGUCAUGCAGAUACUGUGAUCAAUAGAGAAGGUUGGAAGUGCGCUGCCCGAAAAGCAAAUUUGGGGUAAAAGAAAAAAAACUUAUUCCAACUAGUAAGCCAUUUCCAAAUUCAACCAACAAAAAGGUACACAGAGAGAUUUGCUUAACAAUUAUGUUUCUUUUAAUUGAUUUAAAUUAGGAAAAGGUGGAAGGAAAAACUUUGUUCUCUGGUAGUUUUUUAGUUAAAAUCCUUUUUGUGCAAAUUCAUUUUUGAAAUUGUUUACUUCAAUUUCAAAUGGUUCCGUCCACAUUUGUUGUCAUUUCAGAUGUUAUAUGUACCAGUUACUGCAUUAUAUUUACCACUAUUGCAAGAUGUUUGUUUAGGAAUUACCACUGUUUUGUUUGUCUGGAAUUUUGUGUGGGAGUCCAACAGGAAUUGUUGGUCUGCAGUAAAUUUGUCAGGCUAGGUAAUGAAGAUUAAUGAAUCAGAAAAUGUUUUGCAUGGUUGGUGAAUGUUCUGACAGUUUUAACAGUUGUGAUGUGGUGUGGUGUAUUUUACUCACCUCACUUCAUCUUGACUCAUCUAGUAGAAGUUGGUGACCUGAAACAAAAAACAUGGAAAAAUCACCUGUGCCCACGUUGACGAUGUCUGUGUUGAAGUGCUGGAAACUGAAAUUAAUUUUCUUUACAAUUUGGUUUCAGGCUAGCUUUAUAAUUUUCUAAUCGUUUUGCGUUUAUUGAUGAGUCCGCAAUCUCAUAGCUGAUUUUCUCCUUUUGAUACCGCCUGUCGACGAUUUGACAGCCUCACACAAUUAAAGAACGUAUGCUAAAAAGCCAAAGUGAGCUCUUCCGAGCAGAAAAGUGACGGCGUAUCCAUUUAAUUGAAAAUAGGCUCAAGAUAACGCACAAUGGCGUUCUUGUCCCAAAGGAGAAAUUUUUCCGUGGAACUUAUGACCGAAAUAGCAUUGCAGCUGUUUAAAAAAAAGGAAAUUGUAUUAUCAUACAGAUGUUGACUAGCUAACAAUCCAGAGAUACGUCAACUUGCGAAAUUUCUAGAUGUGUGUGAAGCGCAAUCAAAUCUUUGUUGAACUGUGUAUCGUUUGU